rnacentral:rRNA from 1 species
UCGGUUGCUUGCAACCGAUGAUGGCGACCGGCGCACGGGUGAGUAACACGUAUCCAACCUGGCCUUUACAAUGGGAUAGGCUUUCGAAAGAAAGAUUAAUACUGUAUGUUCCGUGAUCUCCGCAUGGAGAUUCCGGCAAAGAUUUAUCGGUAAAGGAUGGGGAUGCGUUCCAUUAGGCAGUAGGCGGGGUAACGGCCCACCUAACCGACGAUGGAUAGGGGUUCUGAGAGGAAGGUCCCCCACAUUGGAACUGAGACACGGUCCAAACUCCUACGGGAGGCAGCAGUGAGGAAUAUUGGUCAAUGGGCGCGAGCCUGAACCAGCCAAGUAGCGUGCAGGAAGACGGCCCUAUGGGUUGUAAACUGCUUUUGAAGGGGAAUAACAGAAUCUACGUGUAGAUUUUUGCAUGUACCUUUCGAAUAAGGAUCGGCUAACUCCGUGCCAGCAGCCGCGGUAAUACGGAGGAUCCGAGCGUUAUCCGGAUUUAUUGGGUUUAAAGGGUGCGUAGGCUGGUUUUUAAGUCAGCUGUGAAAUACCAACGCUUACCGUCGGCACUGCAGUUGAAACUGGGAGCCUUGAGAGUGCAAGAGGCAUGCGGAAUUCAUGGUGUAGCGGUGAAAUGCAUAGAUAUCAUGAAGAACCCCGAUUGCGAAAGCAGCAUGCUGGGGCAUAUCUGACGCUGAGUCACGAAAGUGCGGGUAUCAAACAGGAUUAGAUACCCUGGUAGUCCGCACAGUAAACGAUGAAUACCAGCUGUUGGCGAUAGACAGUCAGCGGCGUAAGCGAAAGCGUUAAGUAUUCCACCUGGGGAGUACGCCGGCAACGCGUGAAACUCAAGGAU